ensembl:rRNA 5S_rRNA 5S ribosomal RNA
GUCUAUGGCCAUACCACCCUGAACGCGCCCGAUCUCGUCUGAUCUCAGAAGCUAAGCAGGGUCGGGCCUGGUUAUACUUGGAUGGGAGACCCUCUUUGCCUGGGUAUCACCAGCAGAGGCUGCAGAAC